GAAAAUGGUCCCUCUUCUCAUGAGUGACCUGAUUUGGGGCAGAAAAUGACCUUGCCACGGGGUGUUUUAGAAAGAAAACUCAAGCUCAGAACGAGGGACUGACGAGAGAACUUGAGAGCAGAGACGAGUUACGAGGAAUCUGCAGUGGUUCAGCUGAUUCCAUUUAUCGUCAGCACGGUGACCAUGUUUCCAAGGUCGCAGGCAGUAGAAAGGUCAACGGAUCUCAGUUCAGCUCCUCUGAACUCUUUGGACAAAUAACAGCCUGACACUGCAAACUUGAGUUGGGAUCAUACAAUGUUAUUUUAAAAUCUCACUGCCAAGGAAGACCUGACCCUCUGAAGAAUCAGGACUAGCAGGGAUGGACGGUGCAGGCUGAUCCCCUGCCACAUCAGACUUCAAACAAACAAACAGAAACACAAAUUCCAGAGCCACGAGAAGGAAACUUGGUCUUCCCUGCUGAGCAGAAAUGGAGAUGAACUAAACAGCCUGCAGAGUAAGAAAUAGGAGUUGGCAAAGGAAAAUGACCCUGUGUUCCAUCCACCAUGUUAGUGGAAAUCAGGAAAGAACCAAGG